GCUCUACUGGCGCAAUGGUAGCGCGCAGGACUUCUAAUUUCUCAUUUAUCCUGAGGCUGCGGGUUCGAGUCCCGCGUGGAGUA